CCAAUACUAUUAAAAGGGGUGAGGUGGUAAAAUGAAUUGAUUGCUCAAAUGCUCAAAGUUAGCCACCAAAACACUCAAUCAUUUUUCCCACAUAUCCACUGUGUCAAGUUCCACAUAUACAAAUUCGGUGUCACUAACAUUGUCACAUAGGACCCACCGAGUUUGAUCCUAAUAAAGAACCCUAGCCAUUCCCACAAAAUCGGUGCAACCGAAACUGCAUCGGUGCUACCGAGUUUGUGUGACCAACAUUCUCUUGCCCAAAUACACAAAAUCAGAAUUUCCGAGUUUGAGUAUCGGUGCCACCGAGUUUGGCGAUCUGACUUUU
rnacentral:lncRNA from 1 species